UAAUUAAGCGGAGGAAAAGAAACUAACAAGGAUUCCCCUAGUAACGGCGAGUGAAGCGGGAUGAGCUCACCAUGUGAAUCUGCGCAACCAGCAAUGGUGCGCCGAAUUGUGGUCUGAAGAAGUAUUGUCGGCCGCGAGUCCGGGUUAACUGUAUUGGAAAAUACGGCCUGUGAGGGUGAAAGCCCCGUUCAUGCCUGGACUUGUUGCGCUUUGGCACAUGCUUUCUACGAGUCGAGUUGCUUGGGAUUGCAGCUCAAAUUUGGUGGUAAAUUCCAUCUAAAGCUAAAUAUUGGUGUGACACCGAUAGUGUACAAGUACCGUGAGGGAAAGAUGCAAAGAACUUUGAAAAGAGAGUUAAAGAGUACCUGAAAUUGUUAAAAGGGAAGCGAAGGAAUCCAGUGUAAAGCGAAGCCAUUCUUCUCAAGCCACUUGUGGUUUGGGCGCUGUGGUUAGCUGUACUAAUUCUGGGCUUGACCUGGGGGCAUACGUUCUUCGAGUAGACGACUCUUCGGAGUGAGUGCUCGUUUUUCAUAUCCUGGGUCGGGCUGAGGUCAGUCACUCUGUGCUCGUGAUGAAUUAGGAAAUGGAUUUCUUUACCCCG
rnacentral:rRNA from 1 species